rnacentral:tRNA from 1 species
GCAACUCACUGGCCAGAGCGCAUCGCUGACAGCGAUGAGGCCAGGGGUUCGAUCCCCCCAGGCCCCA